CCUACGGGGGGCUGCAGUAAGGAAUAUUGGUCAAUGGACGAAAGUCUGAACCAGCCAUCCCGCGUGCAGGAUGAAAGCCCUAUGGGUUGUAAACUGCUUUUAGCAGAGAAGAAAAGCUUUCAUUAAUGAGAGUCUGACGGUAUCUGCAGAAUAAGCACCGGCUAACUCCGUGCCAGCAGCCGCGGUAAUACGGAGGGUGCGAGCGUUAUCCGGAAAAACUGGGUGUAAAGGGUGUGUUGGGGGAGUAGUAAACUCUUGUCUCUUAACGAUAACAUUGCCAAUGAUACUGGUACUCUUGAAUUGGGUUGAGGUUAGCGGAAUGUGACAUGUAGCGGUGAAAUGCAUAGAUAUGUCAUGGAACACCAAUUGCGAAGGCAGCUAACUGGGCCUUGAUUGCCGCUGAGGCACGAAAGCGUGGGUAGCGAACAGGAUUAGAUACCCCUGUAGUC
rnacentral:rRNA from 1 species